GGGAAUCUUCCGCAAUGGACGAAAGUCUGACGGAGCAACGCCGCGUGAGUGAUGACGGCCUUCGGGUUGUAAAGCUCUGUUAAUCGGGACGAAAGGCCUUCUUGCGAAUAGUUAGAAGGAUUGACGGUACCGGAAUAGAAAGCCACGGCUAACUACGUGCCAGCAGCCGCGGUAAUACGUAGGUGGCAAGCGUUGUCCGGAAUUAUUGGGCGUAAAGCGCGCGCAGGCGGAUUGGUCAGUCUGUCUUAAAAGUUCGGGGCUUAACCCCGUGAUGGGAUGGAAACUGCCAAUCUAGAGUAUCGGAGAGGAAAGUGGAAUUCCUAGUGUAGCGGUGAAAUGCGUAGAUAUUAGGAAGAACACCAGUGGCGAAGGCGACUUUCUGGACGAAAACUGACGCUGAGGCGCGAAAGCCAGGGGAGCGAACGGGAUUAGAUACCCCGGUAGUCCUGGCCGUAAACGAUGGGUACUAGGUGUAGGAGGUAUCGACCCCUUCUGUGCCGGAGUUAACGCAAUAAGUACCCCGCCUGGGGAGUACGACCGCAAGGUUGAAACUCAAAGGAAUUGACGGGGGCCCGCACAAGCGGUGGAGUAUGUGGUUUAAUUCGACGCAACGCGAAGAACCUUACCAGGUCUUGACAUCAAGUGACCGCCUAAGAGAUUAGGCUUUCCCUUCGGGGACACGAAGACAGGUGGUGCAUGGUUGUCGUCAGCUCGUGUCGUGAGAUGUUGGGUUAAG
rnacentral:rRNA from 1 species